ACCUGUGGGUGGUGGGGGUCCCGUGGGUGGGGGGGGCAGGGAGAUGUGGGGCCCCAUAGAUGUGGGGCAGGACUUACAAGUGGGGGGUGGGACCCAUGGAUCUGUGGGGCCCCAUAGAUUUGUGGGGCUGAGAUCCAUAGGUGGGUCCCAUGGAUGUGUGGGGCAGGGAGCUGUGGGACCCCAUAGAUGUGUGGGGCGGGACCCAUGGAUGGGGGAUGAAAUGUAUGGAUGUGUGGGGCGGGACCCAUGGAUCCAUGGAGUCGAGCUCAGUGAUUUGUGGGGUCAGCCCCAUAGAUCUGUGGGGUGGAACGUUCAUACCUUAAUGUUGGCAGCAAGGGGUUAUGGAACAAUGGGCUGGGAUCCAUACAGCUGCAGAAGUAAACCUGGAGAUCUAUGGGGCCAGACCCACACAUCUAUGGGGUCAGCCCCACAGAUCUAUGGGGUGGAACGUUCAUAUCUUAACUGUGACAGCAAAGAACCUAUAGAGCAAUGGGCUGGGAUCCAUAGAGCUGCAGAAGGAAACCUGGACAUCUAUGGGGCCAGCCCCACAGAUCUAUGGGGCCAAACCCACGCAUCUAUGGGGCCAGACCCACAGAUCUAUGGGGUGGAACGUUCAUAUCUUAACUGUGACAGCAAAGAACGUAUAGAGCAAUGGACUGGGAUCCAUAGAGCUGCAGAAGCAAACCUGGACAUCUAUGGGGCCAGACCCACACAUCUAUGGGGCCAGACCCACACAUCUAUGGGGUCAGCCCCACAGAUCUAUGGGGCGGAACGCUCCUAUCUUAACUCUGAUACUGAAAAACCCAUAGAGAGAGGAGCUGGGAUCCAUAGACCCACAGAGCCGAAGCUGGAGAUCUGUGGGGCCAGCCCCACAGAUCUAUGGGGCCGGCCCCACGCUUUCCCCCCAGGCUGAUGGUGCUGAAGAUGCAGAACCUCCACGGGCCGCGGCGCCAUGGGGGCAGCAGCGACAGCGAGAGCGACAGCAGCGAGGAGGAGGAGGAGGAUGAAGAGCGGAGCCCCCAGCUGCACCUCGCCAUCAUCCCCCACUACGGCGGCAUCAACCGCGUGCGGGUACUGAGCCACAGCGCCCCAUAGAUCCGUGGGGCUGACCCAUAGCGCGCCAUAGAUCCGUGGGGCUGACCCAUAGCGCCCCAUAGAUCUGUAAGGCUGACCCAUAGUGCCCCAUAGAUCCGUGGGGCUGACCCAUAGCGACCCAUAGAUCUGUAAGGCUGACCCAUAGCGCCCCAUAGAUCCGUGGGGCUGACCCACAGUGCCCCCAUAGCGCGCCAUAGAUCUGUGGGGCUGACCCAUAGCGCCCCAUAGGUCCGUGGGACAGACCCAUAGCGCCUCAUAGAUCCAUGGGGCUGACCCACAGUGUCCCAUAGAUCCGUGGGGCUGACCCAUAGUGCCCCCAUAGUGCUCCAUAGACAGGUGGUGCUGACGACCCAUAGCGCCCCAUAGAUCCGUGGGGCUGACCCAUAGCGCCCCAUAGAUCUGUAAGGCUGACCCAUAGUGCCCAAUAGAUCCGUGGGGCUGACCCACAGCGCCCCAUAGAUCUGU
ensembl:lncRNA